rfam:Veillonella montpellierensis DNF00314 contig18, whole genome shotgun sequence.
GGUUCAGUAGCUCAGUUGGAUAGAGCAACGGCCUUCUAAGCCGUGGGUCGGGGGUUCGAAUCCCUCCUGGAUCA